UUCGAGUCCUCUUAAGCCCACCAUGGGGAAUUAGCUCAGCUGGGAGAGCGCCUGCUUUGCACGCAGGAGGUCA
rnacentral:tRNA from 2 species